AGCGGCAAGCUACACAUGCAAGUCGAGCGCUCUCUUCGGAGGGAGCGGCGGACGGGUUAGUAACGCGUGGGAAUAUACCCUUUGGUACGGAAUAGCCUCUGGAAACGGAGAGUAAUACCGUAUGAGCCCUUCGGGGGAAAGAUUUAUCGCCAAAGGAUUAGCCCGCGUUAGAUUAGGUAGUUGGUGGGGUAAUGGCCUACCAAGCCUACGAUCUAUAGCUGGUUUUAGAGGAUGAUCAGCAACACUGGGACUGAGACACGGCCCAGACUCCUACGGGAGGCAGCAGUGGGGAAUCUUGGACAAUGGGGGCAACCCUGAUCCAGCCAUGCCGCGUGAGUGAUGAAGGCCUUAGGGUCGUAAAGCUCUUUCGCCUGUGAAGAUAAUGACGGUAGCAGGUAAAGAAACCCCGGCUAACUCCGUGCCAGCAGCCGCGGUAAUACGGAGGGGGUUAGCGUUGUUCGGAAUUACUGGGCGUAAAGCGCACGUAGGCGGACUGGAAAGUUGGGGGUGAAAUCCCAGGGCUCAACCCUGGAACUGCCUCCAAAACUAUCAGUCUAGAGUUCGAGAGAGGUGAGUGGAAUUCCGAGUGUAGAGGUGAAAUUCGUAGAUAUUCGGAGGAACACCAGUGGCGAAGGCGGCUCACUGGCUCGAUACUGACGCUGAGGUGCGAAAGGUGUGGGGGAGCAAACAGGAUUAGAUACCUGGUAGUCCACACCGUAAACGAUGAAUGCCAGUCGUCGGGGUAGCAUGCUAUUCGGUGACACACCUAACGGGAUUAAGCAUCGGCUUGGGGGAGUACCGUCGCAGAUAAACUCAAUGAUGACUGGGGCCCGCCCAAGCGGUGGAGCAUGGUGGUUUAUUCGAGCAACCGCGACAAAACGUUAC
rnacentral:rRNA from 1 species